rnacentral:rRNA from 1 species
GUGGGGAAUAUUGGACAAUGGGCGAAAGCCUGAUCCAGCCAUGCCGCGUGUGUGAAGAAGGUCUUCGGAUUGUAAAGCACUUUAAGUUGGGAGGAAGGGCAGUAAGUUAAUACCUUGCUGUUUUGACGUUACCAACAGAAUAAGCACCGGCUAACUUCGUGCCAGCAGCCGCGGUAAUACGAAGGGUGCAAGCGUUAAUCGGAAUUACUGGGCGUAAAGCGAGCGUAGGUGGUUCAGCAAGUUGAAGGUGAAAUCCCCGGGCGCAACCUGGGAACUGCCUCCAAAACUACUGAGCUAGAGUACGGUAGAGGGUAGUGGAAUUUCCUGUGUAGCGGUGAAAUGCGUAGAUAUAGGAAGGAACACCAGUGGCGAAGGCGACUACCUGGACUGAUACUGACACUGAGGUGCGAAAGCGUGGGGAGCAAACAGGAUUAGAUACCCGAGUAGUCC